CCCUUAGAUGUCCGGGGCUGCACGCGCGCUACACUGAAGGAAUCAGCGUGCUAAAACCAUUGUCGAAAGGCAUUGGUAAACCCAUUAAAAUCCUACGUGAUUGGGAUCGGGAAUUGCAAUUAUUUCCCUUGAACGAGGAAUUCCCAGUAAGUGUGGGUCAUAAGCUCGCGUUGAUUACGUCCCUCCCCUUUGUACACACCGCCCGUCGCUGCCCGGGACUGAGCCGUUUCGAGAAAAGCGGGGACUGCUGCUGUCGGGGCUUUCGGGCCUUGGCUUCGGUGGAAACCGCUUUAAUCGCAGUGGCUUGAACCGGGCAAAAGUCGUAACA
rnacentral:rRNA from 1 species